rnacentral:tRNA from 1 species
AGGCGUGUAGCUCAACGGUAGAGCAACGGUCUCCAAAACCGUAGGUUGCGGGUUCGAAUCCUGCCACGCCUGCCA